rnacentral:rRNA from 1 species
GACGAACGCUGGCGGCGUGCCUAAUACAUGCAAGUAGAACGCUGAAGCUUGGUGCUUGCACCGAGCGGAUGAGUUGCGAACGGGUGAGUAACGCGUAGGUAACCUGCCUGGUAGCGGGGGAUAACUAUUGGAAACGAUAGCUAAUACCGCAUAAGAGUAGAUGUUGCAUGACAUUUGCUUAAAAGGUGCAAUUGCAUCACUACCAGAUGGACCUGCGUUGUAUUAGCUAGUUGGUGAGGUAACGGCUCACCAAGGCGACGAUACAUAGCCGACCUGAGAGGGUGAUCGGCCACACUGGGACUGAGACACGGCCCAGACUCCUACGGGAGGCAGCAGUAGGGAAUCUUCGGCAAUGGACGGAAGUCUGACCGAGCAACGCCGCGUGAGUGAAGAAGGUUUUCGGAUCGUAAAGCUCUGUUGUAAGAGAAGAACGAGUGUGAGAGUGGAAA